AGCACAGCGUGUGGUGGACUGCCGCGCAAUGAGCAUGCGAUUCAUAUGCCGUUUGGAGGAAAGUGACAGUAUGACAGCAGCGUGUCUGCUGGGUCUGAAAACUGCUUGGGACUCUGGCUUCAAGAAGAUCAUCUUCGAUUCAAACUCCGCGGAGGCUUUAGAAGCGUUGCUUGUUGAGCCAAAUCCUGAGCACCAUGAUCUGGGAGUCAUUUUGGAGGGUCGUCAGGUCUUGGUCUGAUUGGGAGUUGAGUCUUCAACAUGUAAGCCGUGAAUAUGACAGGGCUGCGGAUGCUUUAGCAAAACAGGGUCUUGGAGCGCUACCUGGUUUAAUUGUGAUUUUUCUUCCUUCCGGUGAUUUAUUGAGGAUAAUGAACCAAGAGUGAUCUUGUACCGAUGAUACAAGAAAGAGUGUUUUUUAUUGGGCCAACAGAUCCAUCAAAUUCAACUAGUUUCAGAACUCAGAUACAGCAUUUUAUUCAAGACACAGCAUUUUAUUCAAUACCCAUUAGGGAGCGGGAUUACUCUGGCCCUCUUAAAAAAAUUGUAUCCAGUGGACUUGAUGGCUUCAAGCACCGAUUUGCUGAUCUUGAGGAAAAUAAUAGCUGAGGAGAAAGAAGCGCACUGCUUUAUGGGAAAUAUGCCUCGUUGCCGAGGUACUAUGCUCAUGCUGACCAUAUUGUUGAGAUUUAGCUAGUGGCCAUGCGGAAGCAUCUAUAAAACAACCCUUGAAAUAUCAUAUAGUUUCUCAUGUCUUGACCUGUACCCUUAGGCCUUAGUGGCUAUGCUAUUCGACUUCCUUGUGCCUUCUGAAUUGAUUGGCCAGCUUUCACUACGAGGAGCGGGUUGGUGCAGCUGAGAAACAGGAGGCGGAAAUGGACAGAAAUUCACUGAAGAAGGAGAAUGCAAUUUCUGCUGUGCGUGCAACCGUUCUGAGUCCUUCUAGGUCCCUGAACGGUAGAGACUGGAAGAUGCUCGCAGAAACUCAUUAAUAAUGCAGAACAACCGAUGCAAAACAGCUUACAAGGGUCAUAGACCUGUAAAGAGUGCCAGUAUGAAUACUUCCAUGCGUCCAGUUGUUAUGGAACCAAAACCAGGAAGUAAGUUUUAAGGCUACUUUGCUUACAUCAACUACCAUCUAGAUCAUGGACUCAUUUUAAGGAUCAGACAUUGACACUGCCCCGAGACACUACCAUGGGAGACAUGGACAAUUCAGAAAAUGGGGGAACAAGACAGAAUGAAAUACUGGACAUUCCAUGUUAGAGAGACUGACAUGUAUAUUUUUAUUAUUAUUCUUGUACAGACGUGAAUACGUUUUAAUUAAGCCUAUUACAGGUAUGAAUAAUUUAAACUACAGUUACAAUC